UAGUCGCUUCCAAAGGGAAGAGUCUGUAGCUCCUGCCUACAUACUUACAGGCAAAUACUUGUCCUCAAGGAGUUUGAACACCCUAUCAAGAUAAUAACCCUUUCCACUGGGGAUCCAUUCCCUAUUAUUUGAUCAUAUGAGCUACUCUCACUCUCAGGGUCAAGCCCAAUGUCAUGAAGCUCAGCCCUCACCCCACCAAACUGAGGCUACCUCUGACUCCCCAUCAACCAUAGCCCUAAUUCUUCCUAAGUCUUCAUGUCUCCCUGUGUCCAACCAUCCUGGAUGCUUGCCCUCACAGAGAGGCAUCACAGAUUCAUCUGCCUCCGCAGGACCAGGCCCUAGAGAACAACUCCAGUCUCCCUUACCUCCCCUGCCCUGUCCUGCCUCCCACUGGACUCCUGGAACAUGAAUGAUGCAGAAACCCUUGGAGAAGAGCCAAGACUUGAAGAAGGGAUGAGUCCAUCUCAGAACCGACACUCAACUGAACUUGAAGCCAGAGAAGGUGAAGAAAUACCUGCUGAACUGGUCAAAGCAGACGGAGAAGCUGGAAACACCAACUGAUCAGCCUGGAGCAACCAAAUGCUCUCUCUCAUAUCCCAUAAAACUAACGUGUUCCCCCACAUAUGCAUAUAAGCACCUGAGCUGCUGUCCAUGGCAUGUGUAUAUAUGAUAUCACCUGACCUUUGCGCAUCAUCUCACUUCUCAUAUGUGUCCCACAUUGUGGCACAUACAUGUUAUGCACACCUGUUACACACACACACACACACACACACACACACACACACAUUCACUUGCAAUCAUAGCUCUGAUCUGACCCAAAUCCGUGUCUGUGCUACCAGGAUCAAAGCUUAAAUGGGCAUCAUUCAGUCAUCCAGGUCAGACUCAGGCACAGCCACAGCAGUGAGGAGCAGGCGAUCAGAGCCAGAAGGGAGAACUAGCCCUUUCCCAGGACCACUCCCACCACUUCCUGGAUUCAUCUGCGCCAUCCCAGUACAAACCCCCUCUCUCAACCACACACACAAACCUGCCCCAACAAAGAAGCCCACGUUGCCCACCUGGCAACACUCCAUACUAAAGCUCUGAGCACGCAGACGCCCCUGAGCUCUGGCUGGAUUAAGACCCACAUGCUGAUUUCCUUAACUCUCUCAGAAGUUUUAUCCAUGAACUGGUGGAGAAAAUGAGAUCAUCUAGAUUAAGAUGCAAGAGAAAAAUAGAAAACAGAGGGACAGGAAGGGGUCAGUGACUGCAGAAAGCAAGGGAAAUGACUGAUAAAGUUAGUACAUGGAUAUGAACACAAUCAAAAUAAAUUUGCCUAUUCAUUCAA